ensembl:lncRNA
GUCCUCGGGAGGCUGAGGCAGGAGAAUGGCAUGAACCCGGGAGGCGGAGCUUGCAGUGAGCUGAGAUCUGGCCACUGCAUUCCAGCUGGGGUGACAGAGCGAGACUCCAUCUCAAACAAAAAACAAAAACAAAACAAAAAACUCAGGAUUCAGGAGAGAAAACUGGCAGGGAAAACAGGGUAGAUCUCAGAUCUGGAAGGACAACGAAUACUGCCGGGAGUUAGGUUCUUUUGAAGACCCUGAAAAACAUACAACCACAACUGUCAGGUGAUACUAUUUUUCAUCAUGUGGUCAUUACCACAUGGGGCGUGUGUGUGUAUCUCCAUGGUUACCUUCCCUUGCCAGAACUAUAAUGCUUUUUUUUCUACCAGACUCUUUCUCUAAGGACAGGAAAAGACUUCCUACUCUUUGGUGUUUACAACUAUACCAUAUUUCUUUGUGUUCUCUGCUACUGUGUUGCUCGGUCAACAUAUACACAAGGAUCUCUUCAUCUUUGCACAGUGCUGUUUGCUUAACCACUUAUAUUGCUACUCACAAAGCUUCCCUCCCCUUCAUUCUCACUGUUCUGUUCAGAAUCCAAAAGUAGAGAACUGAUUUCACCAUUGGUUCACAAUGACCUUGAGUGAGAUCCAUUGCUAAUUAGGAACAAUCAUAUCUGUUAAAAGCAUAUCUUUUGAACUCAAAAAACAACCACAACAGAAAUUUCAGCACCUAUUGUGAGCAAUGCACUGUGGGAAUACAAGAAAGUUCCAGCUUCGAAAGAGCACUAAACUUUAGCACCAUUAUCUGGAUUCUAAUCCUAGAUCUGCCACUAACAGAUUUUGUUAGCUUGGGCAAGUCGGCCUCCUUGGCCUAAGUUUCUUCUCUGAAGAGUAGCUGGGCACAUUGCAACCACGUGCUUCAGCUGGCACAGGAUCCACAGUUUUAUCAGUGAGAGUUCUGUGCCAUGCGAAACUUCUCAGUACCAGGUAAGCCACAUGGUCAGACCCUCCAUUGGACAGGCUAUCUGAGAUCCUUUCUGGCUCUGAUUCUUUUGGGUCUAAGCUUCAGGUUCCUCUCAAGGCAUGCUGUGUAUGCUCUCAGAGAGUGUGGACUGAGUCACGGGGAGGGAGUGGAGUGGCUGUAUGCAAAGAAGCUGGAGGCAUCCUGCCUCCUGACCUGUGACUCACAUGGGAUGCUGCAGGACAUCAUUCCUAACAUCUCACAGGAAGAGAUCAGCUGAGAAUGGUACAUUCAGGCAAGAGACAUUCUUGGGUUUCCCAGUGGAAAAGAAAUUUAAAAACAAUUGACUAAUGAGAGGAAUGUGUAGCAAAUGUUGAAGCUGCAGCAUUCUUGCAAGUGAGCCAAUGACCUUUUAAGCUACAUCUACAACUGACUAGUUUCUUGGCCAUCAUCCCAAUGAAGGCUCCUUUCCCAGUUUAGACUGUAUCGAGAUCUGGCUUGGCAGUAAGACUUUUAGCAUCCUCAGAUACAGAUUUAUUUCAGCAUGAAAUCACAUUAAAUCAGCUUUCUAAUAACGGCCUUAAAAACAAAAAAGAUGGCUGGGCAUGGUGGGUGGCUCAUGCCUGUAAUCCCAGCACUUUGGGAGGCUGAAGCAGGUGGAUCACCUGAGGUCAGGAGUUCCAGACCAGCCUAAAACACCACCUCUACUAAAAAAAAAAAAAAAA